CCUUCCGGGGGGACAGCAGUAGGGAAUCUUCCACAAUGGGCGCAAGCCUGAUGGAGCAACACCGCGUGAGUGAAGAAGGGUUUCGGCUCGUAAAGCUCUGUUGUUGGAGAAGAACGUGCGUGAGAGUAACUGUUCACGCAGUGACGGUAUCCAACCAGAAAGUCACGGCUAACUACGUGCCAGCAGCCGCGGUAAUACGUAGGUGGCAAGCGUUAUCCGGAUUUAUUGGGCGUAAAGCGAGCGCAGGCGGUUGCUUAGGUCUGAUGUGAAAGCCUUCGGCUUAACCGAAGAAGUGCAUCGGAAACCGGGCGACUUGAGUGCAGAAGAGGACAGUGGAACUCCAUGUGUAGCGGUGGAAUGCGUAGAUAUAUGGAAGAACACCAGUGGCGAAGGCGGCUGUCUGGUCUGCAACUGACGCUGAGGCUCGAAAGCAUGGGUAGCGAACAGGAUUAGAUACCCUGGUAGUCCAUGCCGUAAACGAUGAGUGCUAGGUGUUGGAGGGUUUCCGCCCUUCAGUGCCGGAGCUAACGCAUAAGCACUCCGCCUGGGAUAACACCCGCAUGGG
rnacentral:rRNA from 2 species